UACAGAGGUCUCAAGCGUUGUUCGGAUUCAUUGGGCGUAAAGGGUGCGUAGGUGGCGCCGUAAGUCGGGUGUGAAAUUUCGGAGCUUAACUCCGAAACUGCAUUCGAUACUGCGGUGCUUGAGGACUGGAGAGGAGACUGGAAUUCAUGGUGUAGCAGUGAAAUGCGUAGAGAUCAUGAGGAAGACCAGUGGCGAAGGCGGGUCUCUGGACAGUUCCUGACACUGAGGACACGAAGGCCAGGGGAGCAAACGGG
rnacentral:rRNA from 1 species